GAAAAAUUCUGUUAUGCUGAAGUGGGCUGAAUCGUUGUCAAUGUUUUCAUUUAUUAUGGCCACUGGGGACAGGUCAUUUUCAUGCGUGGCUAGCUUUUCAAUGAAAGUUUUUUGGAGCCUUAACCCAUAGGAGCAUAGAGGUUUGUAGAUGACUUUUCUUUCACAGAUUUCCAAUUCUUUGGCCACAGUGGGGGAGAUGGUGAACAAAAUUGGAAAGCCGUAGAUUAGCACCGGUCUAAUAGCCACCUUAUAGAGCAGUAGUUUAGUGGACUGCGGCAAGUAUUAACUAUUUAGUAUAUAUGAAAAUGACCCCAAAAUUCUUCUCGUCUUUUGCAGUACUUGUCUGGCAUGCAUGUUGAACUUUAACAUCUUUUUAAAUGUAAUGCCAAGAUAUUUGAUUUUGGAUUCAACAGGAAUUAUGACGCCAUUCAGAGAGAGGUUAAGUGUUUUACUCUGGGGUACCACGAAUCUUGGACAUUUGCCAGAGGCGUUACUGAUACAAAUCGCAAGAGAUUUGGCAGCGUUUAUUCUAAUGCCCCACUUGUCAUAAUACUCGUUGAUGAGUCUCAGGUGUGCAGAUGCUUUUUCAAGGGCGAUUUCUGGAGAUAUAUCAUGGGCAUAGAUAAGGCAGUCAUCCGCAUAUAAAAUGGCCUGCGAAUCUUGUGCUGCAUGAGGAAAGUCAUGAAGAAAUAUAUUGAAAAAAAGUGGAGCCAACACACUUCCUUGUGGUACUCCACUUUCGACGGCUCCUAAGGCAGAUAUUGUACCUUGUAUAUCGACACAAAAUCGUCUGUUCGUGAAGUAGUUGGCCAAAAUCUUCACAAUAUGGGGAUCAGUCUCCAACUGAAUAAGUUUAUAUAAAAUGCCCAAAUGACAGACUGAGUCAAAUGCUUUUUCUAUAUCAAGUGAUAUAGCAAAAGUGCAUGAUUGAUUGCGUAGAUUGAUAGAGAUGUCAUGAUGAAAUUUAAGCAGUUGCUGGUUAGAAUGUGCUUUCCUGAAGCCGAACUGGAACUGAGAUAAGGGUUCAAUAACAUAACCGUUUUCAAUAUUUUCUUUUAGGACGAGCUCAAAUACUUUCCCAAUGUUGGAUAAGAGGGAGAUCGGACGAUAAUCGGACGGAAUCAUACAAUCAGUUUUCUUUUUGAUUGGAAUUAUCUUUGCAACUUUCCAAUCCGACGGAAUGUAGCCAUUGUUUAUACAGUGAUUGAAAAUCAAUCAUUCGUGAAGUGGAAAUUAUCUUGGUUGUGGACUGCGUUGAAUUCAUCGUUAAAGGUAUAAAUAUGGCGAGGAAUGACAUUUAUACAAUCUGAUAUUCUCGAAUGUAAAUCUCUAACUGGGUGCAAAGGCAGUCUUUUUCGGAAAGUUUCUGAAUAAAAUUCUUGGAAUUGGUGUGCAAUAUCGUAGCUGUUGAAACUCCAACUCCUUCAUGAAUGACUUUGGUACCUUCAAUGUCAGGAAAUGCUACCAUUGUAUAUUCUUUGCCCUAAGAUAUGUUUCUAUCAACCUCUCAAGAGUCUUCGGCACAAAGGAUGACAUACUAAUAAGACGAAAACAAAGGAAAAUAAACAGCUGAUAACCUUUUACUACAAAAUACGUCAGUAAAAGGUAUUAUUAGAUUAAGAACAUAUAUAGCUUUGUUCUGUACAGAAACAAUUAAAAACUAGGUUCAAUUAAGAAAUUUGUGGAUUGAUUGUGGAUGAAAUAUAUAGCUUAAAAAUAAUUAUAUUUUUUACAAUUUUCGUUGUAUCUCU
rnacentral:sRNA from 14 species